UAGACGAUAUGCAUUCCUGUAAUUAUUCUAACUCUUGUCAGAAUGCCAAAAGAUCAUGUAUACAAAUGAGCAACAUCAUGACUGACUAGGUAAAAGGAAAAAAAUUAAUGGAAUUACAGUAGAAAGGCUAAUUUUUAACUACUCGCUUCGAAAAGUCCUCAUGGACGAGACUUGGUGGAAAUUCCAUUCUGCUUUGCUAUUGAUUGCAUCGUAGUCCCAGGACCAUAUGCAUAAAAUAAGUUGGCUCCAUAUUUGCUUUUGACUGUUUUGAGGCAAUUUUUAAAUAAAACAGGACGAAAACACUGUAGCAAUAAUUGUCUCCUUAUAUCCUCUUCAUCAGCUGGAUAAAGCUCAGCUGUGACAUUAGAUAUGAUGGGUAAAAAGCGCUUACCAGAAUCCGUAUAACAGAGUUCUGGAGAAAUAUUAAAUUCUGUUUCCCCCAAUGCAUUUUUUAAAGAAUCACGUGCUGGAAGCAUGUAUCUUGAAUGAAAUGCCCCCGAUACAUCAAGCCAAUUCGAUCGAAGCUUUCCCAAUGAACGCACUAACUCUGAGAGUGUUGAAGUAAUUGAUUCAAGUUCUUUCUUAUCGCCAGACAGCACUAUUUGUCUGUCAGAAUUUACAUUGGCUAUAUCAAUUAAUCGAUACUUCUGAACUGCCGAGUAAACAGUGUUUAGAAAGUUGUCAGUCGGAAAUCUGGAAGUUAAAGUUAUCGCUAACAUAGAAGUCGGAUUUUGGCAUAAAGCAGAAGCAUAACUCAUUGCUUUUGCUCUUGCUUGAACUAGUUUUAGAGCCGACGAAAAUGAAAGCGUUUGACUAGCUACAAAGGCAGAAUAUUCUCCCAAAGAAUGUCCAACAUAGAACCUAAAUUUCUUUGUGAAAGGAGGAAAGGCACGAAGCAAUGCAAUACUGCAGGCUAAUAUGGCAGGUUGUGCAAUCGUGGUUAUAGGCUGCCUAAGAUUAGAUUUGGCCUCUGCCUCAACGAUAUACUUUCGAAUUUCAAUUUCAGUCACAUUUUCUGCUUCCUUUAAAGUAUUUUGAACGAUAUUAUUUUCUAAAUAUGGCUGCAUCCAUGUUUUCCAAUCCACACCUUGGCCAGGAAACAGGAUAGCAGACAUUCUCUUUUAAGUAAUAGGGUAACAGAGCAUCAAAAUUUUGAAAGGAAUACUAUUUCAAAUCAAUGGAGCUGAAAUUCGAAGACAAAUCAAAUUUCUGUAAAAACGUAGAAAGUUUGACAAUGAGAACUUUAGAUCUUCUUGUUUACACCUGCGACACCCUCUAAUAUUGUGUCGAAAGAAAUGCUUGUAAUUGAAUUUUAAGGAAUCUAGCACAUACAGUAAUUUAAACAAAGUGAUUAUUGUUAAUACUUCUUAGUACUUGCUUAGUGAAAGUGGUUUGAAAUCCCAAUUCAAGCUCAAUAUAACGAACGCUGGGUGUUUUUGUAAAUCAACCCAUAGACAAUAAUGACGAAAGUUAGGUAGAAAACUGCAAUUGAAAGUCCUUGAUCGGACAGACAAAAAUUUGUGAUUGCUUGAACGUAUAGGUAGUUGAUAAAAUUGAACUCCACCAUGUUCCACAUGCAGUUGUUUACCACACAUUCAGUAACCAGAACUGCGAUUUGUAUCACUUUGUAGACUUACACCAUACGAAAUGUAGACUUCAAGAGUCAAAAUAAAAUACUAUGAAAUACCUUAGCAGGUUAAUUAGUAUGAAAUUAUCAAUGGAGAAAUAACGGCAACUAAUAUAUGAGUUGUCUAUAAAAUGUCUGAUCAUUAAAGUUACUGACACUUUUGUUACGGGUAGACAGCAAGGAUUUGGAAUACAUUACACUAUCGGCAAUCACAAAUUGAUUGCUUAAAUUACGCAAGUUAAGAUGAAACAGAUUCAAACUUCAAUUUUUUAUACUAUUCCGUUUAAUGGGACUGUUAAUUGAAAAGAUAUGCUUUAGUAAAUUAUUUUCUCCAAAUAGGAAUGAUACAGCAAAGCAGACUAUUUUACUCUUAAUAGAGAUACGUCCAAUGUAGCACAAGAAGAUUCCAUUCGAGUAGGAUAAGAAAUUAAAUGCUUGGAAGCCGAGGUUAUUCAAUUCUAAUAAAAUGAAAUGCAAAUUUUACAGCAGAUCACUAUUCAUUAAACUUUAGGUGUAACGGGAUCAGCUUGCUUCUAGUAGAGAAAAACAAAUGGUGGAAAUUACUAUGAAUAAAUAGGGAAAAAAUCUAGAAACCUAUAACAGGUCAUCGUAUGGAUUAAUUGACUUCAUAAGGUGUCGGUCAUGAUUGCUUUUUCAAGACAAUAUUCCUUUUGUAUUCAAAAAAUGCUUUAUACUUCUCAGCAGUUCUAGUAUUAGUGACCAAUGGUUUUAUAAAGUCAGCGUCUUUAACUCCUUGAGAUUUCUUCCUCAAGGCCUCCUCCUCAUAGUUUUGAUAAAGCGGUUUCCCAAUUCUGUAACAAUGGUAUUCAGUAUAGUCAUGAUGGAAUUUUUCGCAAUCCUGAAGGUCCAUAAACAAUCGCCCAAGAAAUCCCAAAAGUUCGUGGAUAUUCUUAAUAUCCUUAAAUAAGGAAGAAUCAAAUUUCCUCAUAAAGAAAAUUUCCUCCGGAAUAAUACUAGGAUACAAUAUUCGCUUAGAUGCUAAAUAUGCAUGAACCGGGACAGCUGAAGCGUUGGAUCCAAUACUGGUCAUCAUGAUUAACCAACUUAAUUCGAAACCAGACACACAGGAUCUGGCCAAAUUAAAAUACUUCGAUCUCCUUCGAAAGAUUUUUAAAGUAUCCAUUUUAACUUCUAAAUGAACCAAUGCCUGAAACUGUUUAGAACAUAUUAUUAGCCAUUUUAAAGAAUUGGGGGAAAAGUACAAAUCAUGUGGGUCAAUAAGGUACAUCCGAAUAUCUCCAAUCUUUUGAUAACAAGCACGAGCAUGUAACAAAGUAGCGCGGCCAAGGCGUACUUGAUUCAUCACAUGUGCUUGCACAGCACACCAAAGAGCGUCUUGAAAAUCUUCUGGAUAAAAAUUAUAAAGCAUACAGUGGUGAACUAACACUUGUAAAGGAGCACGGCCGUUUCGUAAAAAGUCGAAAAUUUUAGUAUAAGUUUUUGGGGAAUAAUUUAUAGCUAAAAGGAGAUUUUUGCAAGAAAGCUUAUGAUUUACUCCAUACUGAUAAACCCUUGAAUCUUCUUCAAAGGCGUUGAAGUUAUCGGUCACACCCAUCUUUAAGUAAGAUUUGUUUUGAUGGUAAAAGACAACGCAAAAUAGUCCAUGCGUAAAGGGGUUUCGUACAAGGUCAUAAGAAGUGGUCUGUAAUUCCUCAUGAUAAUUAGCUCUGAUUUUUUCAGGAAUACUGCUAAGGCGCUUUAAGGGAUAAAAUUUACUAACAUCAAAAAUGUCAAUAUCCACAUCUCCCACUGGCUCGUCCAACGUAGGGGACCUCACCGGUUUCUUGUCUUUGGAAUUACUAAACUUCCAGUUUCCCGGAAAAAAUGCUUUAAAUUGUGAAUAAUCUAUAGAGAAUUUAUUCCGGGAUGCAAUAUCAGAAUGUGACAACAAACUCCCACCGAAGGAAAGCAUAUUCGUAUCGUAUGUUGGAAAUUUCGCUAUCAGCUUUCUUAAAAGGAUGACAGUCGAAUAAUUGUGCUUCUUCAAAUAUCACUCCUUUUUCGCAAAAUCUAAGAACCCUUUCAAAAUCUAAGGGCAUGAAUUAGGUCAACUUAAACCAAAAAGCGAAAUGAACUGUGAGGAAUAAUACUUGAAGAAGAGGAUUAAGCGCCUUGCAUACAAGACUAAACAAAAUAGUAUAUUAAGGCAGAGGAGAAGUAAUGAAUUCAGGGAGAAUUAUAAAAAGGCUACUUAUCUCGUAUACCUGACAAGAAAACCAAAGAUAACCACCCUUCAGCGUUAGAAUCAAGGGUCUAAUAAACGUCAAGAAUGUCAAUAGUAAACCUCUCCUUUUAGUAUAAGAAAUGUGGGAAUGGGUAAAAAUAAAAAUAAAAAAGCAAAAGUUAUGACAAGAUGGAUAAAAGAAGAGUUUUCGAGUUUUUGAACCAGUAUAUACCUCAAA